rnacentral:rRNA from 1 species
UACAGAGGUCUCAAGCGUUGUUCGGAUUCAUUGGGCGUAAAGGGUGCGUAGGUGGCGAUGUAAGUUUGGUGUGAAAUUUCGGGGCUCAACCUCGAAACUGCAUUGAAUACUGCAUUGCUUGAGGAUUGUAGAGGAGAGUGGAAUUCAUGGUGUAGCAGUGAAAUGCGUAGAUAUCAUGAGGAAGACCAGUUGCGAAGGCGACUCUCUGGGCAAUUCCUGACACUGAGGCACGAAGGCCAGGGGAG